AUACCCCAUGAUGCUCAGGUCCGCCGCAUCUCCUGGGUCGUGGGGUCGGUCGACCGGCAGGCAUGCCAAAGCGGUUCCUCGUGCCGUGAUUGCAGGCUGGUCGACCCCCGU
rfam:Rhizobium sp. YS-1r CONTIG.13, whole genome shotgun sequence.